CAUAACUUAUAAAACAAAAGAAUAACAGAACACUAAUGAUAAGUUUCGAUAAUGGUCUGCAGGAAAAAUUUGCUUCAUUUUUUGGGCCAGGGAUCACCGCACAAGUUGGGAAGGGAGAGAACGAUCAUGUGUACGAAGUUCGACUCAUUUCCAACGCAAGCUCCGAAGGGUCAAGUUCAUGAAGUUCAUGAAGAUUCCAUCUGGUCAUGUUUCUGAUCUUGUCCUGUGGAAAUUUUGUACAUGUUCAGAUUCAUCACGGAUUAUACACUUCUGAAUCAGUAUAGAACAUUGGAGAAAUAGGAAGUAACGCAGAUGGUAAUGGAAAAACGAAAUUGCCAUA